rnacentral:rRNA from 1 species
GACGAACGCUGGCGGCGUGCUUAACACAUGCCAGUCGAACGGAGAGGCCCUGCUUUUGUGGGGUGCUCGAGUGGCGAACGGGUGAGUAACACGUGAGUAACCUGCCCUUGACUUUGGGAUAACUUCAGGAAACUGGGGCUAAUACCGGAUAGGAGCUCCUGCUGCAUGGUGGGGGUUGGAAAGUUUCGGCGGUUGGGGAUGGACUCGCGGCUUAUCAGCUUGUUGGUGGGGUAGUGGCUUACCAAGGCUUUGACGGGUAGCCGGCCUGAGAGGGUGACCGGCCACAUUGGGACUGAGAUACGGCCCAGACUCCUACGGGAGGCAGCAGUGGGGAAUAUUGCACAAUGGGCGGAAGCCUGAUGCAGCAACGCCGCGUGCGGGAUGACGGCCUUCGGGUUGUAAACCGCUUUCGCCUGUGACGAAGCGUGAGUGACGGUAAUGGGUAAAGAAGCACCGGCUAACUACGUG